rnacentral:rRNA from 1 species
GAUGCCGCGUGAGUGAAGAAGGCCUUUGGGUUGUAAAGCUCUUUCGUCGGGGAAGAAAAUGACUGUACCCGAAUAAGAAGGUCCGGCUAACUUCGUGCCAGCAGCCGCGGUAAUACGAAGGGACCUAGCGUAGUUCGGAAUUACUGGGCUUAAAGAGUUCGUAGGUGGUUAAAAAAGUUGGUGGUGAAAUCCCAGAGCUUAACUCUGGAACUGCCAUCAAAACUUUUUAGCUAGAGUAUGAUAGAGGAAAGCAGAAUUUCUAGUGUAGAGGUGAAAUUCGUAGAUAUUAGAAAGAAUACCAAUUGCGAAGGCAGCUUUCUGGAUCAUUACUGACACUGAGGAACGAAAGCAUGGGUAGCGAAGAGGAUUAGAUACCCUCGUAGUCCAUGCCGUAAACGAUGUGUGUUAGACGUUGGAAAUU